rnacentral:rRNA from 1 species
UUAAGCAUAUCAAUAAGCGGAGGAAGAGAAACUAACAAGGAUUCCCUCAGUAACGGCGAGCGAAGUGGGAAGAGCUCGAGCCUGAAAUCACUGGCAGUUGCUGCCAGAGAAUUGUGGCCGGGAGAGGCAGCGGUGCCCGGACCGACGCCGUCGAAGUUGACCUGGAAAGGCACGUCGGAGAGGGUGAGAGCCCCGUGCGCGACGCCGUCGGGAUGGGCCGCUACUGUCUUCUGAGAGUCGGGUUGUUUGGGAAUGCAGCCCAAAGUGGGUGGUAAACUCCAUCUAAAGCUAAAUACUGGCACGAGACCGAUAGCGAACAAGUACCAUGAGGGAAAGGUGAAAAGUACUUUGAAAAGAGAGUCAAAAAGACCGCAAAACCGUUAGGAGGGAAGCGAAUGCAGCUGAAGUGGUCCUCUCUCGGGCUCAGGAGGCGUCGGUUUGGCCUGCUGGCCGGCGGAAACCGUGAGGUGCCGCCAGUCGGACGGCCGGCCGACCACUCUGCACUCCCGGGGAGGACCGGCCAACAACGGUUGCACCCGGCUCAACAGGGCGUCUGGGCAGGUGGCCACUUCUCUCGGAGGUGGAACUUACAGCCACUCGUCUGGCAGUCCGGGGGCGACCGAGGAGAGUCUGCGAACUUUCGCACGUGCGGCACGGGCCCUCAGGGGCCGGGCUGCCUCUGUCCGUUUGGGCACCGCGCCGGUGACUGCUUGCAGUGUCCGGUGACGAAUGUCUGCUCGGGUGG